UACGUAGGGCGCAAGCGUUGUCCGGAAUUACUGGGCGUAAAGCGUGCGUAGGUGGUGAGUUAAGUCUGUCGGUGAAAGCCCCGGGCUCAACCUGGGAAUGGCGAUGGAUACUGGCUCGCUAGAGUGCGGUAGAGGAGAGUGGAAUUCCUGGUGUAGCGGUGAAAUGCGUAGAUAUCAGGAGGAACACCAACGGCGAAGGCAGCUCGCUGGGACGGUACUGACACUGAGGCGCGAAAGCGUGGGGAGCGAACAGG
rnacentral:rRNA from 1 species